CCCGCGCGAGGAUAUCUCCAUCGAUGGUGUAGCUAAUGGAAAUUUUCAACACAAUUGGCCAACGUCGGGAGACAUUGGAACAUGCAUCCUGGAGGUGGGACGAAAGAUGCUCCUUUUAUUUCAACUAACCCGCACUGGAACCGGGCGCAGUUUCAGUCGGGCCGAGAAAUGUAUUCCUUCAGUUUUAAUGUCUGUCUAAAUCAGGAAAGCUCUCUUCGAUGCCAUCCAAGUUCCCUGACCGGAAGAUUGGAAGAUCAUCACGGCCCGUUUUCUGGAUUGUUGGCCACAAGAGGACUGUCAAAACAUCGCAAAUCGAUAUGACCAAACGAACGGGGGUCAGCGAUUUAAAGAAUUUUUCGAUGAAUCAUCAAAGAGUGAAGCAGUCCGGCGUUUUGUGCUACCAUCAUGAAAAAAAGUGACGUUAUCACUUUUUUGAAAAAAUAUGUGUUAAAAAUGAAUAUAACUCUUAAGGCUUCCAAAAUAUAAUAAUAUGAGAUAAUUGUA